GAGAAGACGUGGCGAGCUGGCUCAGAAUCAGCUCCAUUCCCACUCCCCGAAGCUGCAGCCUGUACCUGGAGGGGAGGGUCCUCAAAUCCAGUCUGUAAUAGAAGAAAAUCUGAAUCAGAGGAAGAAGAGCCUAGUCCUUUUGGAUACCAGACAGAUACAGCUGUGAUUUUUGAAGUCAUUGAUCAAUCUAACCGUAAGCAAUACAUGAAGACUAAGGUGGGCACCCUUCCAUCUUUCUGGACUACAAGACCUUCAAAAUGCUGUGAAGGUCAGUUAACAACAAACGCCUCAGCUUAUCAACUCCCUCCUCCGAGGUAAUUAGGGAACAAGUAUAUGCUAUGAAAGAAAAAUAUGCUCUUAGAGGCCAGCUCACUAGUGAGUGAUUACUCUGAAUUUCAGUACCUACUGUGCCUUUGUAAAUGUGGACCUGAAAUGCUUUCAACAGUGACUUUCCAGUAACCUGAAAAAUGGAAUGGGAAAAACAUGGACUUCUGCAUUAUCAAAAUGUCUGCAGGUAGCACACUUUAAAGGAUGACUGUUACCUGCAAAAGUGUGAUAGCAACCGUCUUUAUCUCUUCUCCACAAAAACUUCCUCACC